UACAGAGGGUGCAAGCGUUAUUCGGAAUUACUGGGCAUAAAGAGCGCGUAGGCGGUCUGAUAAGUCCGAUGUGAAAGCCCUGGACUCAAUCCAGGAAGUGCAUCGGAUACUGUCAGACUAGAGUACAGGAGGGGAGAGCGGAAUUCCUGGUGUAGAGGUGAAAUUCGUAGAUAUCAGGAGGAACAACAGUGGCGAAGGCGGCUCUCUGGACUGUUACUGACGCUGAGGCGCGAAAGCGUGGGGAGCAAACAGG
rnacentral:rRNA from 1 species